rnacentral:lncRNA from 1 species
UAGUAGUAUUUCCUCUGUUGCCAUUCUGUGAUUUUCUAUUCCUGAAAGAAUAGGUGCUGGGAGUAAUUGGGAUUAAGGUGUAGGCGGAGGGGUCAAAGAAAGAACUAAAAAUGUUAAACAUGACUGAGUGAUUGAAGUUCAAUAUACUAUCACUUGAAAAUUUUUCAAGUAUGAUGUUCCAGGAAGAAACUUCGGCCACAAAAGCAGCAUGCUUCCAUCCAAGGAAAUAUGGAAACUAACGUUUACAACUUGAGACCAGAAAAUUAAAAUAAUGUUACUGAUUCUAGGCUGGGAACCAAUGCUGCCCCAAAGUUAUACUGGUUCCCGCACAACAUUGUUAUAGCAUGCCACUAAGAUCUGUUGCCUUCCAUCGCUAAACAAACUACAGCACCAACGAUAGCAACAUGUACAUGUAUGAUGGAAUAAUAAACGUAAUUUAACUAUGUUGUGUAUGCCCUCGCAUCAUAAGAUACACCAAGACUCAGUUCCAUCCAGAAUGUCCACCAUUUCAAACAAAAUUUCCUCCUUUUUUUUUUUUUUCCUUUGAUUUGCUUGCAAAUGACCAUAAAGAUCAAUUUCUACCAUAUAGCAUUAACCAUGGAUUGUCACUUGCCAGCUUCUAACACUUUCCUGGUUUGUUUUUCUUCGGCCAACUCAUUGGCAUUUUGAGUAUUUGACGAGCAUAGAAGG